GCCUACGGGGGGCAGCAGUGGGGAAUAUUGGGCAAUGGGCGCAAGCCUGACCCAGCAACGCCGCGUGAAGGAAGAAGGCCCUCGGGUUGUAAACUUCUUUUACCAGGGACGAAGAAAGUGACGGUACCUGUUGAAUAAGCCACGGCUAACUACGUGCCAGCAGCCGCGGUAAUACGUAGGUGGCAAGCGUUGUCCGGAUUUAUUGGGUUUAAAGGGUGCGUAGGCGGAAUAUCAAGUCAGCGGUAAAAAUUCGGGGCUCAACCCCGUCGUGCCGUUGAAACUGAUGUUCUUGAGUGGGCGAGAAG
rnacentral:rRNA from 1 species